CAGCCGCCGCGGUAAUACGUAGGGUGCGAGCGUUAAUCGGAAUUACUGGGCGUAAAGCGUGCGCAGGCGGUUGUGUAAGACAGGUGUGAAAUCCCCGGGCUUAACCUGGGAGCUGCCCUUGUGACUGCACAGCUAGAGUAUGGCAGAGGGGGGUGGAAUUCCACGUGUAGCAGUGAAAUGCGUAGAGAUGUGGAGGAACACCGAUGGCGAAGGCAGCCCCCUGGGCCAAUACUGACGCUCAUGCACGAAAGCGUGGGGAGCAAACAGGAUUAGAUACCCCCGUAGUCCCUGUCUCUUAUAC
rnacentral:rRNA from 1 species